rnacentral:siRNA from 1 species
AAGGCGAACCAAAUCUGUAGUCCA